rnacentral:rRNA from 1 species
CGUAGCCCGCUGGCACUAAGCAUAUCAUAUCGUAGGAGAAGAAACAACAGGAUUCGCCUUAGUACUGCGAGUGAAGCGGCAAAAGCUCAAAUUUGAAAUCUGGCUCUUUCGGAGUCCGAGUUGUAAUUUGAAGAAGGUAUCUUUGGGUCUGGCUCUUGUCUAUGUUUCUUGGAACAGAACGUCACAAAGGGUGAGAAUCCCGUGCGAUGAGAUGAUCCAGGCCUUUUUAAAGUUCCUUCCAAAAGUCGAGUUGUUUGGGAAUGCAGCUCUAAAGGGGUGGUAAAUUCCUUCUAAAGCUAAAUAUUGGCGAGAAACCGAUGGCGAACAAGUACCGUGGUGGAAAAAUGAAAAAAACUUUGAAAAAAAAAUGAAAAAGUACUUGAAAUUGUUGAAAGGGAAGGACUUGAGAUCAAACUUGGUAUUUUGGAUGUUGCUUCUUCGGGGGUGGCCUCUACAGUUUACCGGGCCAGCAUCAGUUUGGGCGGUAGGAGAAUUGCGUUGGAAUGUGGCACGACCUCCGUUGUGUGGUAUAACCUUCGCAGAUACUGCCGCCUAGACUGACGACUGCGCUUUUAUCCCUAGGAUGUUGGCAUAUCGAUCUCAAGUCUCCCGUCUUGAAACACGGACCAGGGAGUCUAACCUCUAUGUCGAGUGUUUGGGUGUUAAACCGGUACGCAUAUUGACAGUGAUCGUAGGUGGGGGCCCUUAUGGGUGCACCAUCGACCGAGCCUGAUGUCUGCGGAUGGAUUUGAGUAAGAGCAUAGCUGUUGGGACACGAAAGAUGGUGAACUAUGCCUGAAUAGGCUGAAGCCAGAGGAAACUCUGGUGGACGCUCGUAGAGUUCUGACGAGCUAAUCGAUCGUCGAAUUGGGGUAUAAGGACGAACGACUAAUCGAACAUCUGAGUAGCUGGGUACUGACGAACUCCACCCUCAGGAGUC